GACGAACGCUGGCGGCGUGCCUAAUACAUGCAAGUCGAACGCAGUGGGGACGGGUGAGUAACACGUGGGUAACCUCCCAUCAGAGGGGAUAACACUUGGAAACAGGUGCUAAACCGAUACUGAUGGAUGAACCCGCGGUGCAUUAGCUAGUUGGUGAGGUAACGGCUCACCAAGGCCACGAUGCAUAGCGGACCUGAGAGGGUGAGCUUACACACUGGGACUGAGACACGGCCCAGACUCCUACGGGAGUCAGCAGUAGGGAAGCUUCGGCAAUGGACGAAAGUCUGACCGAGCAACGCCGCGUGAGUGAAGAAGGUUUUCGGAUCGUAAAGCUCUGUUGUUAGAGAAGCGGUAUCUAACCAGAAAGCCACGGCUAACUACGUGCCAGCAGCUGCGGUAAUUC
rnacentral:rRNA from 1 species